AGUCGAACUCGGUUGUGACAGCGUUGCGUUUACUCGCUCCUCCUUUUGACGGAUUUUUCAGUUUGAUAAAGUUUCGUUUUACCUCAGUCCUUAAAGAGAUGGUAGAAACAACUUCCGAGCGCAAACUCUGCAUUGUUAGAAAGUUUAACUAUCCAGACGACUUAGAAGAAGAAGGACCGGGAGAGGACCAGGCCUCUGCUCCGCUUUAGAAGCUUCCAGAGAGCGAUCAGCUGCAGUCUGCUCAGCAGUGAGAAAAGAAGACGUCAGUGAUGGACGAAUCAUCGUCAAAGAGAAGAAAAACAAAGACGAGAGACGUACAAAGAUGAUCCACCAGUGCUGCCCAGUUUGAGGACAUUUCCAGUCACAUUAAUGGGGGACAGGAGACGCAGCUUCCAUCAGAGCUGGUCUGAAAGUCAUCGUUGGAUUCUCUGUAAUUAUGGACUCUGCCUGUUUCAGGCCACCAAAUAUGUCAGGCAUGGAUUUUAAACAUUGUGCACAUGUACAGUAUGUGAAACCUUUAUUUUGAAAUUCAUUUGGAUCUUUAUAGUAGAUGUAAAUAUGUAGUGAAAAUAAGUUAACUUAAUAAAUUAAAAGAUUAAAUAUUUCUCUCUUCUUUUGUUUUGUUCUGUGCCCCCAUGAAAAACAAUGGCCCCUGGUUAGUUUGGUCUGGAUCUGCCACUGGUCCGUGUUUCUCUGCAGGUUCAAUAAACUUUGG